rnacentral:rRNA from 1 species
CCUACGGGAGGCUGCAGUGGGGAAUAUUGCACAAUGGGGGAAACCCUGAUGCAGCGACGCCGCGUGAGUGAAGAAGUAAUUAGUGAUGUAAAGCUCUAUUAGCAGGGAAGUAAAUGACGGUACCUGAGUAAGAAGCUCCGGCUAACUACGUGCCAGCAGCAGCGGUAAUACGUAGGGGGCAAGCGUUAUCCGGAUUUACUGGGUGUAAAGGGAGCGUAGACGGCAGUGCAAGUCUGGAGUGAAAGGCGGGGGUUCAACCCCCGGACUGCUCUGGAAACUGUACGGCUGGAGUGCAGGAGAGGUAAGUGGAAUUCCUAGUGUAGCGGUGAAAUGCGUAGAUAUUAGGAAGAACACCAGUGGCGAAGGCGGCUUACUGGACUGUAACUGACGUUGAGGCUCGAAAGCGUGGGUAGCAAACAGGAUUAGAUACCCGAGUAGUC